rnacentral:misc_RNA from 1 species
GAAAUGCGAUAAGUAAUGUGAAUUGCAGAAUUCAGUGAAUCAUCGAAUCUUUGAACGCACAUUGCGCCCGCCAGGAUUCUGGCGGGCAUGCCUGUUCGAGCGUCAUUUCAACCAUCAAGCCCCCGGCUUGUGUUGGGGACCUGCGGCUGCCCGCAGGCCCUGAAAAACAGUGGCGGGCUCGCUGUCACACCGAGCGUAGUAGCAUACAUUCUCGCUCAGGGCGUGCUGCGGGUUCCGGCCGUUAAACGACCUUCAUAACCCAAGGUUGACCUCGGAUCAGGUAGGAAGACCCGCUGAACUUAAGC